rnacentral:rRNA from 1 species
GUCGAGCGAACGGACGAGAAGCUUGCUUCUCUGAUGUUAGCGGCGGACGGGUGAGUAACACGUGGAUAACCUACCUAUAAGACUGGGAUAACUUCGGGAAACCGGAGCUAAUACCGGAUAAUAUUUUGAACCGCAUGGUUCAAAAGUGAAAGACGGUCUUGCUGUCACUUAUAGAUGGAUCCGCGCUGCAUUAGCUAGUUGGUAAGGUAACGGCUUACCAAGGCAACGAUGCAUAGCCGACCUGAGAGGGUGAUCGGCCACACUGGAACUGAGACACGGUCCAGACUCCUACGGGAGGCAGCAGUAGGGAAUCUUCCGCAAUGGGCGAAAGCCUGACGGAGCAACGCCGCGUGAGUGAUGAAGGUCUUCGGAUCGUAAAACUCUGUUAUUAGGGAAGAACAUAUGUGUAAGUAACUGUGCACAUCUUGACGGUACCUAAUCAGAAAGCCACGGCUAACUACGUGCCAGCAGCCGCGGUAAUACGUAGGUGGCAAGCGUUAUCCGGAAUUAUUGGGCGUAAAGCGCGCGUAGGCGGUUUUUUAAGUCUGAUGUGAAAGCCCACGGCUCAACCGUGGAGGGUCAUUGGAAACUGGAAAACUUGAGUGCAGAAGAGGAAAGUGGAAUUCCAUGUGUAGCGGUGAAAUGCGCAGAGAUAUGGAGGAACACCAGUGGCGAAGGCGACUUUCUGGU